rnacentral:lncRNA from 1 species
UUUUAUUUUAAUUUAAUUAACUUCAUUUUUAGAAUAGUUUUAGGUUCACAGCAAAAUUAAGUGGACUGUACAGAAAGUUCCCAUAUAACCCUGUCCCACACACAGCCUCCCCUACAAUUGAAAUCUUGCACCACAGUAGAAUAUUUGGAACAAUAAGUGAACCUACACUGACACAUUAUAAUCACCCAAAGUCCAUAAUUUACUUUAGGUUUCACUUAUGAUGUGGAACACUCUAUGGGUUUGGACAAACGUAUAAUGACAUGCAUCCAUGAUUUGUAGUAUCAGGCAGAAUUGUUUCACCUCCCUAAAAUUCCUCUGUGUUCUUUCUAUUUAACCAUCCUUCUCCCCAACCCUGGGUCUUCACUGAUCUUUUUACUGUAUCUAUAGUUUUAAUUUCCGUAAUACGCUAAUAUAUUGAUGAAAUUGUGUAGUGUGUAGCAUUAUUGAAUCAUUUUGUCUUAAGAAUAUGCAUUUAAGAUUCCUCCAUUUUUUAUAGCUUAAUAUCUCAUGUAUUUUUAACUCAAAAUAAUAUUCCAUUGACUGGAUGUACCACAGUUUAUUUAUCCAUUCAGUUACUGAAGGACAUCUUGGUUGCUGUUAGGUUUAAAUAAUCAUAAACAAAGCUGGCCGCUAUAAACAUCUUUAUGCAAGUUUUUGUGUAGAUAUGUUUCCAAUAAAUUUGGGUAAAUACAAAUGACUACAAUUGCUGGGUUAUAUGGGAAGACUAUGAUUCAUUUUGUAAGAAACCACUAAACCAUCUUCCAAAGUGUUUGUACCAUUUUGUUCACACCAGCAAUAAGUGGAAGUUCCUGUUGUUCCCACAUCCUUGCCAGAAUUUGGUGCUGUUGGUGUUUUAGAUUUUGGCCUUUCUGAUAUGUAUGUAGUGGUAACAUAUUGUUUUAAUUUGCAAUUCCCUAACAUCAUAUGAUGUUGAACAUUUCUUUCUAUGCUUAUUUGCCAUCUGUGUAUCUGGGUGAGGUAUCUGUAUAGACCUUUUUGCCCAUUUUUGCCCAUCUGAUUGUUUUCUUAUUGUUGAGUUUUAAGAGUGCUUUGUAUAUUUUAUAUAAAAGUCCUUUAUCUUUUGCAAAUACUUUCUCCCAGUAUGUUUCAUUGUGUCCGGAAUUGGUUCGUUCCGGUGGGUUCUUGGUCUCGCUGGCUUCAACAAUGAAGCCAAGGGCCCUCAUGGCGAGUGUUACAGUUCUUAAAGAUGGUGCGUCCAGAGUUUGUUCCUUCAGAUGUUCAGAUGUGUCCGGAGUUUCUUCCUUCCUCUGGGUUCAUGGUCUCACUGACUUCAGGAAUGAAGCCGCAGACCUUUGCAGUGAGUGCUACAGCUCUUAAAGGUGGUGUGUACAGAGUUGUUUGUUCCUCCUGGUGGGUUUGUGGUCUGGCUGACAUCAGGAAUGAAGCUGCAGACCCUCGCGGUGAGUGUUACAGCUCAUAAAGGUAGUACAGACCCAAAAAGUGAGCAGCAGCGAGAUUUAUUGUGAAAAGCGAAAGAACAAACCUUCCACAGUGUGGAAGGGGACUGGAGUGGGUUGCUGCUGCUGGCUCGGAUGGCCAGCUUUUAUUUUAUUUUAUUUAUUUAUUUAU